AAAUAGUCAUGUUACACUUGAGUAUUCUGUCUAGUAGAAGCCAACGAUAUACAUACAUGUUAAUUAGUAUGAUGAUAUAUUCAAACUGCAGAAUUCUGGACUACCCUGUAGGAAGAUGCAAUUGUGUUGGGGUUUUUUUUAAGGCAAGUUUUAAGAUUUGUGCAAUAGGAUUUUAGUGGACAAAAGCCAGAUGAUAAUGAAAAUGACAUUUUCCAGGAGCAGCAGGAAUGUCAUGCCGGAAUAUGUAGGUACAGUGUAGGUACAGAUGUUGGCAAACCACGCUGUCCCUGCACUGAACCAUGUUAUUAGCACAGUAUAGUAUGCACUUUCUGCUAUGCUAGCUUAGUCACACAAGACAAUGGCCCGGUGAGGGGAACCAGCCUUAAUCAAUCAGAAUGAAGUAAACAGGUGUAUCAAUCAUAUAGUAAUAAGUAACCUGUGUGAUGUCAAUCAUGUAAUACUGAGUAACCAGUCUGUAAGAAAGAGAAUAAAAGCGGCGGUCUGGGACUAUCCAGAGACGCCUCACUGCAGCUUUGUCUCGUCUCUGUUUCCCGAUACAACAUCUGGUGACCCCGACGUGAUGCAGACACAGGACCCCCGACUCAUCGGCUGGCUUAGCCUUGGUGCACCACAGCGCAACGCGCUCCCUCAUUGCUGCAGUAUUACAACACAUCCGAACCCACAAACCGACCCUUUUUAUCUAGAGCCCAGCGCCAUUAUAGACAGACCGAGCCCC